GCUGCUGACUGUGACCAAAUUGUGGCUUUGUGUUAUAAUGGGACCAGAGACCACCUCUAGCCUUAAUCACAUGCAAAGCAUCAAGAUGCAAAAUCUUCAGAUCACACAGAUGUCUCUAGGAAGCUGAAACUACUAAUCAGAAAGCAAUAACUAAUUUCUUGAAAGAGGAUCGAUAAGAAUAAUGCCAGCUGCUGACCUAAUCAUCAUUUCUGUUCUUCCGCAAAUUGCUAAGAGCACCAAUUCUCUGCUGCUGCCUCUGCUGGCCAAACCAAAACUGAGGAUAGAGGAGUUGGGAUACAGGGGAUGAUGCAGCCCAUGGAAGUCAACCCCCUGCAACCCAGAGAAGGCGUAGAUGGGAGCCCAGAGGAAGCAUCUGAUGGGAAAAUGGAGGUAAGUCAGCCCAACAACCUUCUGGACAAUUUCGUAA